UUAUUUUUAUUUUUAUUUAUGCUAUUGCUCCUGAUACAGUGAAAAUAUCUCUAUAUUUCACUAUAAUGUAUCAAAUCAGUCUAACUAGGAUCAACAAGUACCCCAGCAAGGUCAUUCGCAAGGACUUGUCCAAGAAGACGGCGAAGAAGUCAUGCUUCAAGGCCUUCGUCAAGCUUGUCAACUACUAGCAUCUGAUGCCCAAGCGCAACACCCUCGACAUGGUUCUCAAGGAGAUUGUCUCCAUCGAGUCCCUCCAGUUCAGGGACAAGAAGGUCACAGCUGCCAAGGAAACCAAGAAGAGGCUUGAGGAGCGCUUCAAGUUUGGGAAGAAUAGGUGGUUCUUUACCAAGCUCAGGUUCUGAAUUGGAUCGACAUCGUUUAAUGUGUUUUGGGAGAGCUGGUUUUCUCCUACGUUUUACCGUCAUAGAUGAUGAUUUUGAGGACACAGAGCUGGAAGGCCAGGAGUAAAUCUAGUGCAAGGACGUAGUUUUCUUUUAUGUUAUUUGAAUAAAAAUUCACAUGUAGGUUUAGUUUAUGUUUUUACUUUACGUUUUUAGUUUCAUGUUUUAAAAAUAGUUAUGUUUAGUUUAGUUAUGUUUUCAAUAAAAAAGGUAUUUCAAAAUAUGAAUCUCUUUACUGGACAUUAUGCUAGAAAUGUUAGUAAUAUCUCUAUCCUACGGGAAUGGGGUGUUACAUUGGUUCACAUGCUUGUGUUGUGUUUUAAAUUUUUCUAUCUAGUUAUUUAAAUUUAGGACAAAAUUUACAUUUCUUUUGUUAAGUUUUGUAGUUUGAAUGUGAAAUCCUUAAGUUAAGGGUAAAAUUAUCAUUUUCCCACAAAUAAGAGGUAAAAUGAUAAUUUUACUGUAAGUCAGUAUUUUUAUAUUUCUAAACUUGUUAAUGAUGAGUUUUUAAUGUUUAAAAAUAUCUUCUUACAAUUUCUGUUAAUUUGCUCAUUUAAUUCGUUACGCUAUGCUUACUAUAAGUUUGUUUCUAACUUACUGUCAGAAUAUUGUGUAUGUGUCUUGGUAAAAGAACAACUAUUCAUGCUCUUAAUCUCUUAUGCAUGUCACAUUAUGCUAUCUCACAAAAUAUUUAUAUGUUACAUAUUAUGUUAUAUCAUGAAAUGUUUAUCUAUUACAAAUUAUGCAAUGUCAUGAAAUGUUUAUUUGUUACAUAAAUCUUAUCUAUUACAUGAUAUGCUAUGUUACAAAAUGUUUAUCUAUUUCAUGUUUGCCAUGUCAUACUUCACACGUAAAUGUCACGUCACAUUGUUUCAUGUCAUCUAUCAUUUCGUUUCACGUCACGUCAUGUCACGAGUUUGGAGUUCGUCACGAAAAAUAGUAUUUUCAAGUCAGUUGAAUCUUUUAUGUUUAUCACGAUCCCAAGUGUUAGAAUGUUGUAAUAUCCUAAUGGAACUCCAUUGUUCAUGUAGGAGUGUCUAAACUGGUGUGAAAUUCUCUAGGUUGACAAAGUAUCGUCAACAGGCUUCAAAUGAACACUAUUUCAUCCAACCAUUAAUUUUUCUGCCAAACUAAAGAGGGUUUCAACUCCAGUGAAACCUAAAAUAUUUGGAAUCAAAUUAAAAGCCCAAAUACCUUCUAAAAACUGAAACCCUAUAUGGUUUCCCAAACCUUAAAUGAAGCCGGUUUUAGCUUAGUAUUUAAUUACUUGAUUAAAUUAUUUUCACAUGUUGUUAACUAUUCUAAUUCAUGUCAUUACAUCCUUAUUCAUUCUUUUAUACCAUAGUAUUUUCAUUGGACCAAAAAAAAAACAAAAAAGGAUUUGGACUUGAUAUAAAUCGAAACCCAAAAUCAAAUCCUAUUGAAACUCCAAAUGAGGUCCAAUCGGUUUAGGCCGAUUAAGGCCAACUGAAUUGCACCAUUUAUGCAUGGCUUCUUGGAAAAAUUUCUCUACUACCAUGACUGUAAUUCUACUAUCAUGUUAGUUCCAAAUAGUGGUUGAUAGGAAGGCAAAAAGUUACCUCACCACCACCCCAUCACAUGGCAGCGUCAAGAUCACUCUCACAUCCCCUCUUAACCUCUCAACCAAUAUGUGAGUUGUCCAUGGCUUGUCCCUUAGGUUUUUUUUUUUUUUUUUUUUUUUUUUUUUUUUUUUUUCACUUUUGAAACACUUUCUUAGAGAGAACUCAAGGAAGAUCUUCAGACAACUUUUUUGGCCUUUCUUGCUCGAAUAUUUCAAAACCUGUGUAAGUAGAUUCUCACGAAACUCUUGGAUUUUUUGUUGUUGUUGUUAUUGUGAAAGCAUGCUCCUAUGCUCUUGAUAUUCACAUAUAUUGUUCUUAGGACUUUGAUAUAUGUUUUAGGAAGUUAUUUUGAAGAUUUAUGGUUGUGAUCUUGAGGGAGUGAAUUUUUAUGCAUGUUGAGGUCCGGUUGAAAUACAAACUUGAGGCUCAUGAGUUGUGUUGUGUUUCUAUACAAUUUUUGCUAUGUGAUCUUGAGUUUAAUGCUUAUAUCAUUUUUAGAACUUGAAUGUGAAGCAUAUGAAGUUGUUUAUUGAUGGUUUACUUUAAGGAAAAUUUAGAUCUAGUGGUUUAAUAAAAAAGACCAAAACAUGUGGUACUCGAUUUUGGAGAAAAUGUGCAAGCCAAUUGUAUUGGUUGACAUUUUGAGAUUUUUGUGAUAUUUGACUUGUUUGUUCAAGCAUUCUAUUUCUUAGGAUUGAUUGAUUUAUGAUCAUAUUGAGAAUAUGUUUUUAGUAGGAGGAUUUCACGUGUUAACUUGGGUUGAGAGAUUCCCUAUAUUGAUUGGGAGGAAUGGUUCCCCGUACUCAAUAGUAUCUAUGAUGAUUCAUGAUUACCUUAUUUUGUUUGGAAGGUGAUUCCUCACUAUACUUAUAAUGUAUGUGAUUUGAGCCUUCAUUUACAUUAAUCUUGUGCAUUCAUAUUCAUUUUCAUUGUCUUGUAUUUAUAGUGUUGUCAUGAGUUUAUAACUAAUUGAUAUUUCAUUAAAAUCUCAUUGUGGUAGUCCUACUACAGUUGUCUCUCAAAAUUGUAGAUUUUGAAGCAAAUGUUGCUAUGAAGGGUUACCUCGCGAAGAAGGACUAGUGCAGCUUGGGGAAUAGUAUGAGUUGGGCAAAUAACAAAUGAUCAUUUGUAAUUAUAUUUUGGAUGAGAUGGUAGUGACUUAUGGAAAUUUUUAUUAAUGGACAAGAAAUGGACAAAUUCAUUGAUACUAUGAAUAUUAGUUUAUGGCUAAUAUCUUUUACUAUAUUCCGUUGCGACUUUGUUACACAUGUGCUUGCAUAUGAGCGCACAAGAUUCACACAGCAUAAGGGAUGUAGCAAUUCGGCAUGCAUCCUGGGCACUACGGUUCCUCGCCAAACCACAAUUGGGGCCACAUCUACCACAUGGGUAAAACAUGUUAUCUGUUAUGAUGUUGUUCAGUGAUGUUUAUGCCAAAAGAUUUUUGUAUAUCAUAUUUUUGUAAAUAAAUGUUUCUAAAAUGCCGCUUUAUAACUUUGA